GCCCCGGUGGCUCAGCGGUAGAGCGGCGGACUCGUAAUCCGCAGGUCCCGGGUUCAAAUCCCGGCCGGGGCU
rnacentral:tRNA from 2 species